GAGAUUCGUAGCUGCGCACUCCUCCUCCCAAGCGCGCUGCGAUAGACUGGCAGCAACUCCUCCUCCCAGUUGCCAGUCACUAUAACACGCCCGCCGGAUCCUCCCCCGGCGGGCGUUUUAU
rnacentral:sRNA from 2 species